GGGCCAGUGGGUUGACAUCAACAAUAACAGCAGGACACAAGAGCAAGCUGCAAAGUUGCAAAGCUGAAGAACCGAGUGACAAACUUCACUAAUGGCUUGCAAAUUGUGUGUGAGGUUACUUGUGCUCUGGCUGUUAGCCUUUGGACCCCAUGCAAAGGGACAUGGUUCUGGACAAGGUGAUCUUGCUCCUCCUUUUGGUUUGGAUGGGAGUUCUCCAAGAAGUCUGCCAGCUAGUUGGGAUCCGCAAUAUAGUCAACUUCAGUCCAAUGCAGCUGGAUUCCUGCAGAAUGAAGCCGGCAUGCGGUAUUUGGCUUUCGCGCCUGUGGGUCAUGUGGUUCAACCUUACGACCACCACCGAUGGCAGCAGCACAGUGCAAGUUUGUCCCGGGCAGCUGUAGUUCCGAGGUCUGGUGGAUGGUCCAUUGAAGCAGUGGAAGCGAUUUGCCCUCUCUGUCCUGAUUGCCCCGAAAUUUCCCCUUGCCCAUUACCUGAACAUUGCCCUCAGUCUGACUGUGUGCCCAAUCAUCUCCCUUGCCCUUGCAGUAUAAAGUGCUGCAAGCGUAGUCGUAGGUGUCUCAGCUGGCAUCCUUGGUAGGCUGCUCAAUGUCUGUGCAGGUAUUUGUCCUUCUGAAGUUUACAUUCAUUGCAGCAGUCAAUAAAUAAUUUAAAAUUG